GGGCCUAACACAUGCAAGUCGAACGGCAGCACGGACUUCGGUCUGGUGGCGAGUGGCGAACGGGUGAGUAAUGUAUCGGAACGUGCCCAGUAGCGGGGGAUAACUACGCGAAAGCGUAGCUAAUACCGCAUACGCCCUACGGGGGAAAGCAGGGGAUCGCAAGACCUUGCACUAUUGGAGCGGCCGAUAUCGGAUUAGCUAGUUGGUGGGGUAACGGCUCACCAAGGCGACGAUCCGUAGCUGGUUUGAGAGGACGACCAGCCACACUGGGACUGAGACACGGCCCAGACUCCUACGGGAGGCAGCAGUGGGGAAUUUUGGACAAUGGGGGAAACCCUGAUCCAGCCAUCCCGCGUGUGCGAUGAAGGCCUUCGGGUUGUAAAGCACUUUUGGCAGGAAAGAAACGUCAUGGGUUAAUACCCCGUGAAACUGACGGUACCUGCAGAAUAAGCACCGGCUAACUACGUGCCAGCAGCCGCGGUAAUACGUAGGGUGCAAGCGUUAAUCGGAAUUACUGGGCGUAAAGCGUGCGCAGGCGGUUCGGAAAGAAAGAUGUGAAAUCCCAGAGCUUAACUUUGGAACUGCAUUUUUAACUACCGG
rnacentral:rRNA from 1 species